rnacentral:rRNA from 1 species
UACGUAGGGGGCAAGCGUUGUUCGGAAUUACUGGGCGUAAAGGGCGCGUAGGCGGCAUGGCAAGUCGGGAGUGAAAGCCCGGGGCUCAACCCCGGAGGGUCUCUCGAAACUGCCGAGCUAGAGUGCGGAAGAGGCAAUCGGAAUUCCCAGUGUAGCGGUGAAAUGCGUAGAUAUUGGGAAGAACACCGGAGGCGAAGGCGGAUUGCUGAGCCGACACUGACGCUGAGGCGCGAAAGCCAGGGGAGCAAACGGG